UACGUAGGGGGCAAGCGUUGUCCGGAGUUACUGGGCGUAAAGCGCGCGCAGGCGGCGGUGCUGGCCCGGCGUGAAAGCCCCCGGCUCAACCGGGGAGAGUCGUCGGGGACCGCACCGCUUGAGGGCGGUAGGGGCUGGUGGAAUGCCUGGUGUAGUGGUGAAAUGCGUAGAGAUCAGGCAGAACACCUGGGGCGAAGGCGGCCAGCUGGGCCGUCCCUGACGCUGAGGCGCGAAGGCGUGGGGAGCGAACGGG
rnacentral:rRNA from 1 species